rnacentral:other from 1 species
AGAGUCCUGAUGUGUUCGUUUAAUCCUCUAUACGUUUUGACCGAACAAUUAUAGUUUCGGGAGCCUGAGUUUCCAAGCUGCGUACAAGCCUUUCUUUGAAGAGGACUUACUAAUGCCUAGAACAGGGCACCCACCUGCUGAGAGCGGGUUCAAAACUAUGGCACUGACGGCACAAUUGGGGCUCUU